rnacentral:misc_RNA from 1 species
UCCGGUUUGUCACCGGCGGUUUUCCUAGAGUCCCCAGCAUAACCUGAUGGUAACUAAGAAUGAGGGUUGCGCUCGUUGCGGGACUUAACCCAACAUCUCACGACACGAGCUGACGACAGCCAUGCAACACCUGUGUGCACCCAACUAAAUGAGAAAUCCAUUUCUGGAAAUCGCAGUGCACAUGUCAAAGGGUGGUAAGGUUCUUCGCGUUGCAUCGAAUUAAACCACAUGCUCCACCGCUUGUGCGGGUCCCCGUCAAUUCCUUUGAGUUUUAAUCUUGCGACCGUACUCCCCAGGCGGGAUGCUUAACGCGUUAGCUGCGAUACCGAGACUUGCGUCCCGACAUCUAGCAUCCAUCGUUUAGGGCGUGGACUAC